rnacentral:rRNA from 1 species
AUUGAACGCUGGCGGCAGGCCUAACACAUGCAAGUCGAGCGGAUGAAGGGAGCUUGCUCCUGGAUUCAGCGGCGGACGGGUGAGUAAUGCCUAGGAAUCUGCCUGGUAGUGGGGGAUAACUUCCGGAAACGGGCGCUAAUACCGCAUACGUCCUGAGGGAGAAAGUGGGGGAUCUUCGGACCUCACGCUAUCAGAUGAGCCUAGGUCGGAUUAGCUAGUUGGUGGGGUAAAGGCCUACCAAGGCGACGAUCCGUAACUGGUCUGAGAGGAUGAUCAGUCACACUGGAACUGAGACACGGUCCAGACUCCUACGGGAGGCAGCAGUGGGGAAUAUUGGACAAUGGGCGAAAGCCUGAUCCAGCCAUGCCGCGUGUGUGAAGGAGGUCUUCGGAUUGUAAAGCACUUUAAGUUGGGAGGAAGGGCAGUAAGUUAAUACCUUGCUGUUUUGACGUUACCAACAGAAUAAGCACCGGCUAACUUCGUG